CUCAAAUGCGCCAUUCCGCGGGUUGCUACGUCACGCGCAGUCGUGCAACUUUGCGUCAAAUGUCAUCCAAAAAUAAAUAAACGCAUUGAAUUCCGACGUCCGAUGCGGCAUUUAUUUUUAAUUAUUGUAAUAAAAACUCUUUAGUGAAUUGUGUAAGUGUGUUUUGUUUAUAAUCUACAGUGUAGUGUUAAAUAAAACGCAAAAAUGUAAAGUGCAACUUGCAACGGCGGUGACCUACUUGAGUCCUUGAACUUAAUGGUUCUGUAAUUAAGAAAAAUGUGACUCUUAAAUGGGACUUUGUUAGUGACUAUGUGAUUAGUGUUUGAAAAAGCAAAUAAACAAACAAUACUGGCAGGGAAAACGCAAAGCGGUGAGCCUCCGCGCUCCACCGCUUACUACUAUGCUGACUUGGAGAAGAUUAAGCGACAGAA